GGCCUACCAUGGUGGUAACGGGUGACGGGGUGUUAGGGCACGACACCGGAGAGGGAGCCUGAGAAACGGCUACCACAUCCAAGGAUGGCAGCAGGCGCGCAAAUUACCCAAUCCCGACACGGGGAGGUAGUGACAAUAAAUAACAAUACGGGGUCCUUACGGAUCUCGUAAUUGGAAUGAGUACAAUUUAAAUCUCUUAACGAGGAACAAUUGGAGGGCAAGUCUGGUGCCAGCAGCCGCGGUAAUUCCAGCUCCAAUAGCGUAUAUUAAAGUUGUUGCAGUUAAAAAGCUCGUAGUUGAAUUUCGGGAUCAAUAUGUCGGUCGUGCCUCGGUACGUACUGGCAUCAUUGGUUUUUCCCUUCUGAAGAACCAUGAUGCCAUUAAUUUGGUGUCGUGGGGAAUCAGGACUGUUACUUUGAAAAAAUUAGAGUGUUUAAAGCAGGCUCACGCUUGAAUACAUUAGCAUGGAAUAAUGAAAUAGGACGUUUGAUUCUAUUUUGUUGGUUUCUAGGAUCGACGUAAUGAUUAAUAGGGAUAGUUGGGGGCAUUAGUAUUCAAUUGUCAGAGGUGAAAUUCUUGGAUUUAUUGAAGACUAACUACUGCGAAAGCAUUUGCCAAGGAUGUUUUCAUUAAUCAAGAACGAAAGUUAGGGGAUCGAAGACGAUCAGAUACCGUCGUAGUCUUAACCAUAAACUAUGCCGACUAGGGAUCGGAUGAUGUUAAUUUUUUAAUGACUCAUUCGGCGCCUUACG
rnacentral:rRNA from 1 species